rnacentral:lncRNA from 1 species
AUACAGCAGAUGCCUUCUGGACAUGGGACCUCUGACUGAAGUGUACAGAGUCACUCUAGCGGUGUCCCCAGCCCUUGUACAGUGGCGAACAUGCUUUCAUUUUUUUCAACUCUCAUUUGUGCAACUGUGGGUUAAACCUCCCAGGCUACUGUGAUAUCUGUGAUAUGUACUGAUCCCUAAUUGCCUACUGAUCUUUAUAUGUAACUGUUUCCUUAGCCACUUGUUUACAGGUAGCAUGAGUACCCUGAAAUGUGUAUUUCGAAAUCCUACAUUCCACAUCACUUCCAUUGCUUCUUGGGAGGCCCAACUCCAUAAUUUCACACCAUAUUGGCCAUGAUGGGUAUUCACCAUAAUGUAAAAUGAUGGGCAGGGAGAAAGACCACAUUGGGUUAAAAAUACAGUUGUUAACUGAACAGAGUAUUGCUGAGUGCUAGUGACUCAUAGCCUAGAGAAAAUACACACUAAUAGAAGAUUUCUAGUGGAUGAAUUUUGGAUACUCAGUGGAUAUUCAGCUCUUACAUUCAUCUAGUAUGCACUGGGGACAGCUACACUGGUUACUAAUAACUGGUGUAUUUUCUGAUUAGUUGGUGUCAUGCUAUACAGAUUGGAACUAUUUUAGUGAUUAAUAGCAUUAAUAUAAAUAAAUAUUUCAUGGGGCAGUUUUAAAUGAAGAAUGCCUGUAUUUUAUGUAUAAUCAAUCACAUAUAUUAGGCCUGGGAUUUUAAAAGCAUUUCUGAACCCCUUUCACCUUUCCUUGCAUAUUUCUCAAGGCAACCUCCUUGGGUAAGGAAUGGGGCCAAGCAGGCAGGGUGGCAUACAAUCUCCCUCUUUCUCUUCCUUCCACAUCCUCAGAGCACCUGCCCUUUUGCAUUGAGUUCUGAGUAAGAUUUCUCUUGAAGAGAAUGCUCUGUUAAUUAGACAUAAGGUUGAAACCCUAUUCUAAUACUCAGGCAGUAUUUCCAUGGGGGCCAUGGAGAUACAUGGGGAGGGACACUUAAUCCCGUCUUGGAGGCCGGGCAUGGAUCAGGGAAAGCUUUCCAUAAAAAGUAGUCCCUGAAUGUGUGCGUAGGGUGGGGUGAGGAGAUUGUAUACCUUCUAGGCAGAGGUAGCAGUAUGUGGAAAGUCCCAGAAGCAAGGCAAGGAAAGUUUAACUUCUUCAGGAAAGUUGUAAGGUGUUCAAUAUGGCUGGAGUGUUUGGUUUCAGAUGAGACUGACGAGGUGAGCUGAGGUCAAACCUAUGUUCCUGUCUAUUCCACUUUGUCAGUUUCACAUCUUUCAACCUAUGCUGUGUCUAGAUGAUGUCUCUCAAACUCUUGACCUUCAAACCUAAUGUGGGUACCAUCUGUUCCUCCCUAUCCUUUUGGCACUUUGACCCCAAACACAUUCGCAGGCCACAUGAUCCAGCCUGAGAGACUGGUCAUUGGAUCCAGUCAGCUCACUCUUACAUUUGCUUUUUUUGCAGUCUACACUAACCAAUCAACUUUCCAGAUUCCUAACAUCAAGCCUAAGGCCUGAUGUGUCUAAACCAAGUGCUGAACUUCCACUGGCCAUGGCCUCACUUUCUGGCUCUCAUUUGGUUUCUUAGUCAAGUCUUUGGACAAAAGUCUUGCAAUGGGGUGACAGAAUGACACCCCCCUCCCCCAAACACUCAACACCCUCAAGCAAGCAAGUGCAGUAUCUUUUGGAAGCCAGUCUUUGGUUACCUACAGUUUCAGUCUGGCUAACCCUCAGGAAUUACUGUGUUCUCCCUUACUAAGGGAGAAGCUUGCUAAGAUAUUUCUUGUACCAAAUUGUAGUCCAGGCUAUGACACUUUAGCUUAAAAUCAAGUUUUUCAUUUGUGGGAAAUGUUCUAUCCUUUUUUUUUUAAAUCACACUGGACUUCUCUGAGCCAAAAGGGAUCUCCAAGUUGUGAGAAUUGAAAAUGCCAGAAAUUUCCUCCUGUUGAGCACUACCAUGGCUGCCAGCAAGGGAACUUUGGGCUCAUCAAAAUCCAAGAGCUCAGCUGAAAGUCUUUAGGGAAUGUCCUUUCUGGUGGAGAAACCAUCAAGUUCUACACCACCUAUUAUGGUCUCCAAACUGUUGAUUGUGACAAAGCAAGUUUUGUGUACAGGAAACAACCACUUCCCUUCUCCCUUUGGAGAACCUAAAAAAAUUUGAUCUUAGAUAAGAAGCCAUAAAUAAUUACAUAAACAAUUACUCAGCCUUUGCUUUUUUUCUUUUAAUCCUAUAAUGGUACUUUAGCAAUAACAUCAAGCACUACUAUUUUUCUUAAGUUUUCACAGUGAAUAAAAAUAGAAAGAAAAUUUAAAUAUUAUAAGUACAUGGUUUUUAAGGCUUUCAUUAGUUGUGAGAAGACACUGUUAUUGAUGCAUUGCUGGCUCCUAAUUUGCAAACCAUGCAUGACUAUGAAACUGAAUGUGGGUUUUUGUUUUCUGCAAGCAAGGUAUAAGACCAUUUUUACAGUAUGUUAUUGAGGACAUAAAAUUUCCAGAUAUAUAAAGUGCUUAGAUUAAAACUAUGCUUUUAGAUGUGAACCAUAGCUCCAAUAUGCAGUUUUAACUAUCAAAACUUUAGGUUCUUCCAAACCAUAAAGAAGUUAAGAGCCAGGUCACUCUUUAAACAGAGGUUGGGCUUUCUAAUAUGCUGGUUUUUUUUUUUUUUUUUUUUUUUUUUUAUGGGACAAAAAAUGAUGGCAAUACUUCAUAAAUGUUAAGCUAGCUUAUCCUACGUAGCAUCUUAUGGGAAGUUAGGAAUAAAAAUGUGACCCAUCAGUGUGAGCAAUAAAUAUUUGCCCUGUACUUAGUGAUAGAUUAGACAUUUACUGUGUGGAGAUGUUCUGGGAAAACGUUUUUAAAAAGGAAGGGCCAUUUUCCAUUUUACUAUGGAGAAUGUGACUCUCCAUUAGCAUGAGGAAGGGGUUUCCUGGACUUGAAGUGACAUGCAAAAGUUGAUUUAAUGUUUAACAUUAGUGUUAUAUACAUUUUAAAUAUUUUAUAACCACAAAAAUACCUACUUAUAAUCAGAAUGUUACAAUGCUGGAUAAUACACCAUGACUAGUAAAGCUUAUUUCAUAAAAAUUGUCAAGGUGGAAGCUUCAUUUAAUGCUCUAAAGGAGUUGUGUAAUUUUAUCUUUUGUUCCCUUAAGCCUAUUUACCUCAUAGUAGCAAACUUAAUCACAUAAAUACCCUUCUCCAUGUCUCCCUAUGUUCAUUACCAUUCACUUUACUUACUGCCUGUUGAGUAUUUACAGGGGCCAACCCAUUGUGUAAGGUAAGAGGAUUCAGGAUUCCAAGAUGAGUAGGACCUGGUCUUUGCCCUCCAGGAGUAAAAAGCAAGUGGAAUGGAGUGUUUGCUGUGCUCUGACAUAAGGAUGAAAAGAAUGCAGAGGAACUAUGGAGGAAGGGGCCUGGUCUACACAGACAGGGGCCUGGUCCACACAGUCCUUCUACAAGGUAGGAUUUACUCACAACAGAUGAGAAGGUGUCAGGAAAAGGGCCUUGCAUUGGGGAUUAAAAGGUUUGGGUUUGGCUCCUUGUUUAGCUACUUACUAGAUUUGUGAUCCUGGGUAAUUUACUUCAACUCCCCAAGUUUUCUCAUCUGCAAAAUAGAAAUAAUAAUAGUUGUUCCCUCAUCUCACAGAAUGUUGUUUCAAGGCUCAAAUGAGCUAAUGAAAAUGAAAAUCCUUUUUAAAGAUUAUAUAUAUAUACAGUUAGUUAGAACUAAUAAAUGAAUUCAGUAAAGUAGCAGGAUAUAAAAUUAAUAUGCAAAAAUCUGUAGCAUUUGUAUACACAUAUAACAGAGAAAUUAAGAAAGCAAUCCCAUUUGCAAUCACAUCAAAAAGAAUAAAAUACCUAGGAAUAAAUUUAACCAAGGCAGUGAAAGACUUGUACUCUGAAAACUAUAAGACAUGGUUAAAGCAAUUGAAGAGGACAUGUAAAAAAGGAAAGAUAUUCCAUGUUCAUAGUCUGGAAGAAUCAAUAUUGUUAAAAUGCCAUACCACCCAAAGCAAUCUACAGAUUCAAUGCAAUCCCUCUCAAAUACGAAUGGCAUUUUUCACAGAAAUAAGGUAGUCCUAAAAUCUGUAUGGAACCACAAAAGACCCUGAAUAGCCAAAACAAUCUUGAGAAAAAAGAACAAAUAAGGAGGCAGCAAGCUUCCUGAUUUCCAACUAUGUGAUAAAUCAGUAGUAGUCAGAACAGUGUGAUAUUGGCAUAAAAACGGAUACAUAGAUCAAUAAUAUAGAAUAGAGAACGCCCAAAUAAAUCCACGCAUAUAUAGUCAAUUCAUUCAUGAUGGAGGAGGCAAGAAUACACAUUGGGUAAGGACAGUCUCUUCAAUACAUGGUGUUAGGAAAACCAAGCAGCCAGAUGUAGAAGAAAGAAAUUUGACCACUAUCUUACACCAUACACAAACCUUAACUCAAAAUAGAUUAGAGAUAUUAAUGUAAGACCUGAAACCAUAAAUCUCCUAGAAUAAAACAGGCAGUAAACACCUUGAUGCCGAUCUUGGUGAUGAUUUUUCGAAUCUGACACCAACAGCA